rnacentral:rRNA from 1 species
AUUGAACGCUGGCGGCAGGCUUAACACAUGCAAGUCGAGCGAGCGGCGGACGGGUGAGUAAUGUCUGGGAAACCGCCUGAUGGAGGGGGAUAAAUACUGGACACGGUAGCUAAUACCGCAUACCAUCAGAUGUGCCCAGAUGGGAUUAGCUAGUAGGUGGGGUAAUGGCGCACCUAGGCGACGAUCCCUAGCUGGUCUGAGAGGAUGAGCAGCCCAACGUGGACUGAGACACGGUCCAGCCUCCUCCGGUAGUCAGCAAUGGUGAGUGUUGCACAAUGGGCGCAAGCCUAAUGCAGCCAUGCCGCUUGUGUGAUGAAGGCCUUCGGGUUAUGAAGCACUUUCUGCGAGGAGACGUUACUCGCAGAAGAGGCAACGGCUAACUCCGUGCCAGCAGCCGCGGUAAUAC